GUGCAUCACGUGCCCGGAAUCACCUGACUAGCAGCGGCUGAUGGUGGGGGGGGAGGAGGAGUCACGAGGAGAUCCGGCCGGGCCGCGCCUCUUGUCGGACUCCGGGCCUUCGCCCUGGGCGCAUCCCUCACGCACCUCGGCCUGCCCUGCGCGCUGCGCUGCUCACCGCUCACCGCCUCCUUCCGGGCUCCGAGAGCACCGCAGGGACGAUGCUUCUGGGCGUCUGGGUCUUCCAUUGUAACUGGGGUCCAGCCUCCAAGACUGCUGUAACCAAAUCUCUCCAGUCUUAAAGGAUAAUUCUAUUACAAGUUGAUCAUGAGUUUAACAUCUGCUUCACAAAAGCUCACCCCAGAUAGAAACGAAAUCUGCAAGGAUACACACCAAAAUGUCGGCCGCGUUUUAGGGUAAGAAGCCCAAUGAAGUGGACGUUCUCAGUCACCCAUUUAUGGAUUUAUUAAUCAAAGAAGUAGUUAUUGACUAUCUUCCACCUGAUGGCAUUAUUCUCACGGUAGACACAGAGCAAUGGACGGAGGAGGAGAGUGUGCACUGCCAGGUGUUCUGCUCAUGUCCUAGAAUUACAGAAAAGAACCAUACCCACUGAGCCAUCUCCCUGGAGGUGGCCUCAGAAUCCUUCUUAACAUAAGGUCCAAUCACAUUCUCCAAGCAAGAUGAAACUCACUUCCUAACCCAGUCCUGGACACCCGAGCCAAAAAAAGACCGAGCCGGGCUGGCUGGCUGGCUGGCCUGAUAUUCAACAUGUAAGUCCUGCUUGCCUUGAUCUUCUUGCCUCUGGCUCACAAGUACUGGAAUGACAGGCACCCAUCACCUUGCCCAGCCUAAGGAUCCCUUCUGAUCUCUUCUGACAUCGUUGACUUGGUCAUCAUUCCUUACCCAGCAUGGACCAGCAUGUAUGAGAUAAACCUCCAGGCCUCUUCCCUCUUAUCAGGGCGGUAAGUAAAGGGACUUUCCAAGAUCCCCGUGUCCAGGGUGAUCCACUGCUUCUGAGGCUUCCACACAGCAUAAUAAAUAAACACGACCAGCUGUCAAGGGGAGCAAUCAUGCCGGUUAAUCAAGCUUCUUCUGGAGGUGAGCCCCAUUCAAACCCCCAGGCAGUAAUUGUGGCUGAGUGAUUAGCUCAGAAGACGUGGGAGUUACAUUUCUCCACCAUCCCCCACAGCGAGGAGCAGUGUUAGGCCAGAUUGUAAGGAAGACUUUCUGAGCCCCCUUCUCCUUGCUUUCCUGACUCUCUGCUGCCUAUUACGUUCUCUAGCACCCUCUCAGAACACAUAACCCGUGUCCCUCACCUUCACUCGGACUCCACAGCUCAGAAACCUUGCAGAUGGUCUAAUGAAAUGAUGAGGAUCAGUGCCCCAGUGAUGUCAUGUGAGGUCCUGUACCCCAGUGAUGUCAUGUGAGGUCCUACCUUGGGAUGUGGUGGGAAGGGAACUUUACCUCUAAGUCAUUCUUCCUCUACACUCCCAACUCUAGGCUAACUAUGUAAAAAAAACCUCUGACAGCCCCAGACAAGGACACUCUACAAGGUACCUGGCCAGUAUACUUCAUCUUUAUCAAGGUCAUGAAAGACUACUGAGAAGUUGUCAUGAAUCAGAGGAGCCAGGGGAAGCAGGACAACUUAAUGCAGUGUGAAACCCUGUAUCGGAACCCUGUAUCGGAAGGGACCAGAGGAUGAGAAAGAGGACAUUAGUGAGAAAAUCAAUCAAAUCUAAGUAAAGCCUGGAGUUUAGUUAAUGGUGCAGGUUCAGCCUCCUGAAUAGAAAAUAUAAAAUCCAAAAAUGCUCCAGAUUUUGAAGUUUGUGAACACUUGAAAAAUUUUAGAAAUCUGGAGAGAUGCCUCAGUUGUUGAGUGAUCUUCUAGAGGACCCAGGUUCAAUUCCCAUAACCCACACAGUGGCUGACAACCAUCUCUAACUCCCGUUACAGGGAAUCUACUGCCUUCUUCUGGUCUCUGAGGGCAUGAGGCACACAUGUGGUACACAGAUACACAGGCAGGCAGAACGCCAUACACAUAAAGUAAUAAAAGUUUAGAGAACAAGUUUUAGGUUUAUGUGUAUGUGCUGAUCUUCAUGUGUGUGCACACACCUGGAGGCCGAGGCCAACAUCCGGUGUCAUGCCUCAGGUGCCAAACACUUUGCUUUUUGAGACUGAGUCCCUCAUUGACCUGGAGCUCAAACAGCAGGCUGGUCUGGCUGGCUAGCAAGCCUCGGGAAUCCAUCCAUUUGUCUCCAGCUCCCUAAGUGCCGGGAUUCAAGCACAUGCCAUAACUCCUGGCUCUUUUACAUGGGCUCUGAGGAUCAAGUUCAUGUCCACAUGCCUGCAUGGGAAGUAUUUUACAGACUGAAUUAUCACCCCAGAUCCAAAGUUUUAGAUUUGGGAGUACUGAAGUCUAUAAAUAUGCCAAAAUUGGAGCUGGAAAGAUGAUUCAGCCAUUAAGAACAUGUACACUGCACCUGCAGAGGAUCUGAGUUCAGUUCACUGCAUCCACAUCUAACAGUUUAAGACUGCUUGUAACUCCAGCUCCAGGGAAUCUAGUGCCCUCUUCUGGCAUCCAAGGGUAUGUGCACUCACACGCAACCCUCCCUACUCCCACACGCAUAGACACAUUUUUAAAAAUUACUCAGAAAUAUUCUGAAACAUGGGUGCUGAAGAGAUAGCUCAGUAAGUAAAAGCAUACACUGCUCUUCCAGAGGACCAGAGUUCAAUUCCCAGUACACAUAUCAGGUGGCUCACAAACACUUGUAACUCCAGCGCCAGGAGGGAUCCAUAACUCUGGCUUCUGCAGGCACCUGUGCUUACACACAAUUAAAUGAUUAAAAAAGAAAGAAAGAAAUUAUUCAGAAACACAAACCAUUUCUGGUGUAAGCAUUUCUAUUAAGAGAUACUCAGCCACUGGGCAGUGAUGGCACAUGCCUUUAAUCCCAGCACUUGUUAUAAGAACUAGCAAGACAAGCCUAAACUAAGGCCGAGCAUUCAUAAUUGUUAAUAAGUCUCCUUGUCUUGAUUUGGGAGCUGGUUGGUAAUCCAAAAAAGCCUGCUACAGGAAAAGCUUGCACAUUUGCCAUAAAAAGUUUGGUUUCUGCAAUGGUUAAUUUUAUGUUCAAUUUGACAAGGUUCAUACAGACUCAGAUAUAUCUUCAAACAUCAUUCCAGAUGUUUCUGUGACUUUUUUGCUUUUUUUUUUAUAUUGCCUAUCCAUUAACUAGUUAGUUAGCUAACUAGUAAAUUAUAUGGUUGCAGAAUCUCACUAAAUAGCCUAGGCUAGCCUCAAACUUAUUUGUACCCCAGGCUCUCUUAAACUCAAGAUCCUUCUGCUUCAGUUUCCAAGUUCUGAGAUCAUGCCCCCAUGCCCACCUGAGGUCAUUUCUUGAGAUGAGAUUAGUAUGUAGUUUAGUACCCCUUUCCCUCCAUCUUGUAUAUGGGUUUCAGAUGAAAGCAUUAAUAGAAAAAGACUAUUUCAUGAGGAAAGAAUUACACUAGCAAAGGAACUCAGCACAAAACCCUUAGUGGGUCUCCAGCUUGCCCUGAAGAUUGGAGAGCUGAACCCUCCCUCACUUUUCGGCUCCCUCCCUCAUACCCUGCUGAUUCUGUUCUUCUAGGGAACCCUGCUACUACAGUCCCUUAGACCAAAGCUGGAGCAUUAGUGGGAAUUAAGAGGAUUAUACUAGGGACACCCUCUGGGCAGCCAUCUCCACCAACUCUUUCAUAAGACAGCAGUCUAGGAGAAAAUCCUUGGUAUCACAAAGGUGUAACAAAGGGCCCGGCCCUCCCCAGUCACUAAGACACACCCUUGAGUGACUCAUCCCCACCUCUCUGAGCUUUGCCCUCUUUCUGGAAACCAAGAAAGCUGAGCAGGUCAUAGACUGAGAACAUAUCCCAUCAGCCCAAAGUAGACACCCACAGCAGAUGCCACAGUUUUCCUGCUCAGGCAGCUGGUGACUGUUCUAAAUAUAUACCCCAGGCCGACCUGACCGAUCAGUCUAUUUUGUUUCAUGAAACAAAGCCAAUUUGCAAGCUGAACAUGGUGGUAUAUGCCUGUAAUCCCAACACCUGGGUGGUUGUUACAAAAGGAUUAUAAUGAGUUUAUGGCCAGCCAGCCUAAGCUACAUAGUGAGUUGGAGGCCAGCCUGGCCUACAAUGCCAAAUCCCACCUCACGGAAAAAAAAAAAAAAAAAAGCUAAUUUGCAGGCCCAAAGUUCCCUGGCUUCUAAAGAACCCCACCAGCUAAAAUGAAAUGAAGCUAGUAGAGCCAGUGAGCGAUAGGCAGUGGAUUUUCAUCAUGGACGAAACCAACCCCUGGGUUGGCAGCGACUGAGCAAAUCAGUUCUGGGAGCAGGGAGUGGGCAGAGGCUUCAUGUAUGCAGCCCUGGUCCCUCUAUGCUCUCUUCCUACAUGGUUUCUCCUCCAGAUGUCGGUUUCGUCCCCACUCUGUUUGCAGCUUCCGGUCUGAACUGAUGUGAGGGCCCCUCUCAUGGUGGUGUUUACCUCAGCCAGGCUGACGGAGAUGAUGAACAGCGGUGGCGGAAGGCAGUUGGCUCUCUCCAAGAACCAGAAAAAUAAGGAAGACCUGUGUUCUGAUUAGAUUUUCUGUCAUCUCGACACAAAUUGGAGGGGAAGAGGAACUUCAACUGAGAAAAUGCCUCCACCAGGUCACUGCCUUGAGUUCCUGUCCUGACUUCCCUUCACGAUGGCCUGUGAACUGUAAGCUGAAAUAAACCCAUGCCUCCCCAAUUUGCUUUUGGUCGUGGAGUUUUAUCACAGAAAUAGAAACCUAAGGUAUGAUCUCAGAUUUUUCUCUUCCUUCAGAUUUUAAAAUGUCCAGAAGUUCUAUGACUUCAAGCUCACCAUGUUAGGUAUGCAAAUGCCUGUACACACGUCCUGUGGUGAAAAGAUACCAGGACCACUUGGAGGAGCCAAGACUGCGCAUGUCUGUGGUCUUCCCGGGCGUCGCAAUGAGAAUGAGACCUGAUACAGAGUCCUAGCCACUUGGGGCUGUAACAACAGACCGGCCGUAAGAAGUCAUUUGUUUUCACCUCUCUUCAGUGGCUAUCCUGCUUGGACCUCCCUACCUGUCCGUCCCUCCCUGAUUCAUCCUAUCCCCAACACGUGGGCCUGUGACACUCACAGGGGUCCCUUCCAAAUCUCGGCCAGCCUCCCAGUCCUCCUAUUCCUUUUGAUCUCUCCCACGCCAGGAUUUCUGAGUGAAGUGAAGUACCUUGGAAAUAUUAGCAAGCAUAUUGUGAAAAAGACUGAUAACGGGAGCAGUACGUGAGGCGCAAGUUGACGCAGCCUUUGGAAGGUGUCAGGUGGCCUCUCCGAAUCGAGAUGGUUUAAUAGGUAAAGGUGCAGGGAUUACAGGUUCCUGCCACCACAGCUGCCUGGAAAGCACCUGUUAGAUAAGCAACAUGACAUUUCCAGAGGCCUAAGGGAAAUGCAGCAUGGCGGUCAAGGCAAAGCCGGUGGCAAUGAUCACAGCCCACUGUCGUCUGUCUGUAUGGUGAUAUUUUAUUUGUAUUAAAAUGUUAUUUGUAUGUUAAAAAAUAAAGUUGCCCGGGGGUCAGAGCUAUUAGCAAGCCAUAGAAAAGCAGGGCAGUGGUGGCAUACGCUUGUAAUCCCAGCAUUUGGUAGGCAGAGCUGGGUAAGUCUCUGUGUGUUCAGGGAUACAGCCAUUAUUGGAUACACAUGCCUUUAAUUUUAAUACCAAUCAUGGAAAACCUGGAGGCCUAUACAGACAGGCCGUGAGGAGGCGGUCAUGUGGUUGAGUUUACAACCAAUGAGAAGGCAGGACAGGAACUCUAUAUAAAGACUUUAACACAGGGGUAGCUCUGGUUCGGAGAGGUAGGACCACCGCAGGAGGAAGGGUAAGGUUUUAGCUCUUAGCUCUGACCUCUUGGCUUUCUUCUUUGUAUUGGUUCUGUGUUUCUUAUUUAAUAAGAAGGUUGGUUACAUCUACAUUUGGCGCCCAACGUGGGGCAAGAGUUUCCACCUAAAAACUGAGAAAAACAAUUCUAAAAUGGAGCUAAAAACAGUUCCUAAUUGUCUCUCUCAAAUGAACAGCAGCUGCUGGUUGGAGCUACUGGUGGGUUCCUAGCGUGUGCGCUCGACCUGCAGUAUGGCGGGAAUGAGGCCUCUGCAAGUGGCACAUUAAGCUGCAUGGUGGAUUUAGUCUUUACUAGUACAAAACAUAAAAAGAGGUUUCUGGGCUACACGCUGCUUGGAUAAAAGCAUAGACCCAUGAUAGCUCCCAGAGCUGACAGUAAACUACCACCUCCAUGUUGGGAAGCUGCGGAGCCAGCAGCCACAGCUGCUGCAGUUUAAAGCAAUAGAUUCAUAACAAGACAGAUUCAGAUGUAAUAGUUUAAAAUGUGUGUAAAAGAUACGUAGGCUUGAAAGAGACAAAAAGGUGAUAUAUACAGUUAUAUAAACAAAUACAUAGUUUAAAAAAAUAAAGUCUUUAAAGAAACAGUAAAAUUAAUAUAAAAAAUAAGCCACGUAAAGAUGAAUAUUACACAGAGAAUCUGGAUUGUGUUGUUUUUGGGAUUUUUAACUGCAGAAAAACAUUUGUUGAGUUAUGCCAAAAUGUAUAUUUUAAAGGUACCUUGACUUCAAAAUUUGGAUAUAAAGAUGUGUUGCUUUGGAAAGGAGACUCUGCUUUUGUUCCCACAGAAAGCCAAAGGCUAUGGAUUUGUUCCAGAUUAAGAUACAUUAGGUUUGACCAGCCAAGACCCCCUGAAAGGUCUCCGAUGACACCAUGGCCCAGACGAUCCAACAUCCAGAAUGGUUUGAAGGCAACUGGCUCAGAUGGUACACCCUCAUGGACUAUUCCAUAAUUCUAAAAUUUUCUUUGUGUCCCCAUAAGACACAGCACCCCCCUCCAGCAGGAAGUUGUAAGAGAGAAGCUACGCCCAAAUUCCCAAAUUAUAUGUAAUUUUACUUUGUUAAGGUUAAAACCUUCCUUUUUGAAAAAAAAAAGAAAAGGGGAAGUGCUGUGGGAUGGUCUGUAUGUCAAGUGUGUUGCUGAUUGGUCCAUAAAUAAAUCACUGAUUGGCCAGUGGCCAGGCAGGAAGUAUAGGCGGGACAAGGAGGAGAAUAAAGCUGGGAAGUGGAAGGCUGAGUCAGAGAGACACUGCCAGCCGCCACGAUGACAAACAGCAUGUGAAGAUGCCGGUAAGCCACGAGCCAAGUGGCAAGGUAUAGAUUUAUAGAAAUGGAUCAAUUUAAGCUAUAAGAACAGUUAGCAAGAAGCCUACCACGGCCAUACAGUUUGUAACCAAUAUAAGUCUCUGUGUUUACUUGGUUGGGUCUGAGCGGCUGUGGGACUGGCAGGUGAGAGAGAUUUGUCCUGACUGUGGGCCAAGCAGGAAAACUCUAGCUACAGUCUGAGAUACAAAUGCACCCACAGCUAUCCCGUGCCUGCUCGGUCACUCCGUCACUGUGUCACAUGAGUGCAUAUUUACUCCUCUGACCGCUGCAUUAGUCAUUAAGCAAAGAUCACGAGGCUUCCUGGCAUUUUCUUUAAUGUGCUGCCAGUUUCUGCUGCCUAUUCUUUGUUGAAACACACACACACACACACACACACACACACACACACACACACACACACACUCACAGACCAAAACUGGAUGUGAAAUGGUCUCACCCUGCCCAGGGGAACAACUGGGUGGUCAGUUAGGAUGUCUCUAGCCUUCUGGUUUACAAUGGAGAUGUUCUCCUGAGAACCAAGAGCCGGAAUCCUUCUCCCCCACCACACACACACACCCCAGGGGGGACGGGGUGGGUUAGCAGAUACCCUGGUUUGGUUUUGUGAUACAAAAUUUCACUCUAUAGUCCCAGCCUUGACUCUACAGUCCUGCCUCAGCUUUCUAAAUACUGGGACCAUAGGCAUACCCCAGCAGGCCCAGCUAGCAAGAAGUCUUUAAUAAAAAUCCAAGCACAGUUGGUAGCAGACACCUUUAAUCCCAGCUCUCUGGAGCUGACACAGGAGGAUUGAAAGCUUCAGAGCAGCCUAGUCCACAUAGCAGGACGCAGUCUCAGAAACAAACAAAGAACCAGCAAGAUGGCUCCUUCCGUAAAAGCACAAUCAGGGCAAGCCUGACAAUGGGAGGUUGAUUCCUGGAACCUCUCCCUUAAAAUAGAUGAAUGAAUGGAUGAAUGAAUGAAUGAAUGAAUGAUUGAAUGAAUGAGAGGUAGAAGCAGAAGAGAAAAAAGAAACUUGAGUCAGAUAUGGUCUAGGCACUUAGGAGGCUGAGGCAGGAGGAUUGCAACUUCAAGGCCUGGGAUAUGCAUUAGCAAGACUGUCUCAAGGGCAAAACAACAUUUAACAAAAGAAUUCAAAUAUAGGAAGCACUUUCUUCCUUUGGGACCUCACGUGGUCCACGCCCUGGAAAAGGUAGGAUUCUGCGAUCAAAGCAGCUGCCUACAUUAAAAAUAAAUAGAUCAGGACUGGAGAAAGAUGGCUCAGUGGCUAAGAGCAUUAGCUGCUCUUCCAAAGGACCGAGGUUUGAAUCCCAGCAGCAUCCACGUGAAGGCUCACAGCAUCUGGAGCUCCAGUUCCAGGGAUCCUACAGCUUCUCGUGUGUUCUGUGGGCAGCACCACACACAAGUGGUGCACAGAUAUAUAUGCGGGCAAAACACCCAUACACGUAGAAUAAAAUAGUAAGAUUUUAAAAAAAUCAGUAGGGCUCCUUGGAUAAAAGGUAUCUGCUGCCAAGCCUGAAGAACUGGGUUCAAUCCUUGGGACCCACGGGGUGGCAAUUGAGAACCAACUCUAAGUUGUCCUCUGACCUCCAAACAUACGUAUACACACACACACACACACACACACACACACACACACACACACACACACACACGUGGUGGUAUUGUGUUCCCCAAAAUAUUGUGAACCCUAAUAAAUUUAUCUGGGGUCAGAGAACAGACAGCCACUAGAUACAAAGGCUAGAAAAUGGUGGCACUCACACCUUUAAUCCUAGCAUUCCGAAGACAGAAAUCCUUCUGGAUCUCUGUGGGUUCAAGGCCACAUUGGAAAAGGCCAGGCAUGGUGACACACGCCUUUAAUCCCAGAAAGCGAGCCUUUAAUCCCAGGGAGUAGUGGUAGGAAGCAGAAUGGUAUAUAAGGUGUGAGGACUAGAAACUAGAAGCAUUUGGCUGGUUAAGCUUUCAGGCUUUGGAGCAACACAGUUCAGCUGAGAUUCGUUCUGGAUGAGGACUCAGAGGCUUCCAGUCUGAGGAAACAGGACCAGCUGAGGAAUUGGCAAGGUGAGAUAGCUGUGGCUUGUUCUGUCUCUCUGAUCUACCAGCAUUUCACCCCAAUACUUAGCUCCGGGUUUGAUUUUAUUAAUAAGAACUUUUUUUUAAAAGUUUUUAUUUAUUUAUUAUGUAUACAAUGCUCUGCCUGCAUGUAUGCCUGCAGGCCAGAAGAGGGCACCAGAUCUCAUUACAGAUGGUUGUGAGCCACCAUGUGGUUGCUGGGAAUUGAACUCAGGUCCUCUGGAAGAGCAGUGAGUGCUCU